rnacentral:rRNA from 1 species
AAGAGUUAGGUAAAUCCGGCUCUUUUUAAGGCUGAGACACGACGUCGAGCAUCUACGGAUGUGAAGUCAUUGAUGCCAUGCUUCCAGGAAAAGCCUCUAAGCUUCAGAUUGUAAGGAAUCGUACCCCAAACCGACACAGGUGGUCGGGUAGAGAAUACCAAGGCGCUUGAGAGAACUCGGGUGAAGGAACUAGGCAAAAUGGUACCGUAACUUCGGGAGAAGGUACGCUCUCGACGGUGAAGUCCCUCGCGGAUGGAGCUAUUGAGAGUCGCAGAUACCAGGUGGCUGCAACUGUUUAUUAAAAACACAGCACUGUGCAAAAUCGUAAGAUGACGUAUACGGUGUGACGCCUGCCCGGUGCCGGAAGGUUAAUUGAUGGGGUUAGACUUCGGUCGAAGCUCUUGAUCGAAGCCCCGGUAAACGGCGGCCGUAACUAUAACGGUCCUAAGGUAGCGAAAUUCCUUGUCGGGUAAGUUCCGACCUGCACGAAUGGCGUAAUGAUGGCCACGCUGUCUCCACCCGAGACUCAGUGAAAUUGAAAUCGCUGUGAAGAUGCAGUGUACCCGCGGCUAGACGGAAAGACCCCGUGAACCUUUACUACAGCUUGGCACUGAACAUUGACCCUACAUGUGUAGGAUAGGUGGGAGGCUUUGAAGCACGUACGCCAGUAUGUGUGGAGCCGUCCUUGAAAUACCACCCUUGUAGUGUUGAUGUUCUAACGUCGACCCCUUAUCGGGGUUGCGGACAGUGCCUGGUGGGUAGUUUGACUGGGGCGGUCUCCUCCCAAAGAGUAACGGAGGAGCACGAAGGUGGGCUAAUCACGGUUGGACAUCGUGAGGUUAGUGCAAUGGCAUAAGCCCGCUUGACUGCGAGAAUGACAAUUCGAGCAGGUGCGAAAGCAGGUCAUAGUGAUCCGGUGGUUCUGAAUGGAAGGGCCAUCGCUCAACGGAUAAAAGGUACUCCGGGGAUAACAGGCUGAUACCGCCCAAGAGUUCAUAUCGACGGCGGUGUUUGGCACCUCGAUGUCGGCUCAUCACAUCCUGGGGCUGAAGUCGGUCCCAAGGGUAUGGCUGUUCGCCAUUUAAAGUGGUACGCGAGCUGGGUUUAGAACGUCGUGAGACAGUUCGGUCCCUAUCUGCCGUGGGCGUUGGAAGAUUGAAGGGGGCUGCUCCUAGUACGAGAGGACCGGAGUGGACGAACCUCUGGUGUUCGGGUUGUGUCGCCAGACGCAUUGCCCGGUAGCUAAGUUCGGAAUCGAUAACCGCUGAAAGCAUCUAAGCGGGAAGCGAGCCCUGAGAUGAGUCUUCCCUGAUACUUUAAGUAUCCUAAAGGGUUGUCGGAGACUACGACGUUGAUAGGUCAGGUGUGUAAGUGCUGUGAGGCAUUGAGCUAACUGAUACUAAUUGCCCGUGAGGCUUAACCAUACAACACC